UACGAAGGGGGCUAGCGUUGCUCGGAAUCACUGGGCGUAAAGCGCACGUAGGCGGCUUUCUAAGUCAGGGGUGAAAUCCUGGAGCUCAACUCCAGAACUGCCUUUGAUACUGAGGAGCUUGAGUCCGGGAGAGGUGAGUGGAACUGCGAGUGUAGAGGUGAAAUUCGUAGAUAUUCGCAAGAACACCAGUGGCGAAGGCGGCUCACUGGCCCGGUACUGACGCUGAGGCACGAAGGCCAGGGAGCAAACGGG
rnacentral:rRNA from 1 species